rnacentral:rRNA from 1 species
GACGAACCGUGCGAACGUUGUUCGGAAUCACUGGGCUUAAAGGGCGCGUAGGCGGCCAGCCAAGUCCGGGGUGAAAGCCCCCGGCUCAACCGGGGAAGGGCCCUGGAUACUGGCUGGCUGGAGGGAGGUAGGGGCAGCUGGAACUUCCGGUGGAGCGGUGAAAUGCGUUGAUAUCGGAAGGAACGCCGGUGGCGAAAGCGAGCUGCUGGCCCUCUUCUGACGCUGAGGCGCGAAAGCCAGGGGAGCGGACGGG